rnacentral:rRNA from 1 species
CCAGCAGACGCGGUAAUUCCAGCUCCAAUAGCGUAUAUUUAAGUUGUUGCAGUUAAAAAGCUCGUAGUUGGAUUUCGGGUGGGUGACAGCGGUCCGGCUCUGCUGUGUACUGCUGUUGCCUUCCUUUCUGUCGGGGACGGGCUCUUGGACUUCACUGUCCGGGACUCGGAGUCGGCGAGGUUACUUUGAGUAAAUUAGAGUGUUCAAAGCAAGCGUUCGCUAUGAAUACAUUAGCAUGGAAUAAUAAUUUAGGACUUCGGUUCUAUUUUGUUGGUUUCUAGAACUGAAGUAAUGAUUAAUAGGGACAGUCGGGGGCAUUCGUACUCAACAGUCAGAGGUGAAAUUCCUGGAUUUGUUGGAGACGAACUACUGCGAAAGCAUUUGCCAAGGAUGUUUUCAUUGAUCAAGAACGAAAGU